rnacentral:rRNA from 1 species
AUUGAACGCUGGCGGCAUGCCUUACACAUGCAAGUCGAACGGUAACGGGCCUUCGGGUGCCGACGAGUGGCGAACGGGUGAGUAAUACAUCGGAACGUGCCCGAUCUUGGGGGAUAACGAGGCGAAAGCUUUGCUAAUACCGCAUACGAUCUACGGAUGAAAGCAGGGGACCGCAAGGCCUUGCGCGGACGGAGCGGCCGAUGGCAGAUUAGGUAGUUGGUGGGAUAAAAGCUUACCAAGCCGACGAUCUGUAGCUGGUCUGAGAGGAUGAUCAGCCACACUGGGACUGAGACACGGCCCAGACUCCUACGGGAGGCAGCAGUGGGGAACUUUGGACAAUGGGCGCAAGCCUGAUCCAGCCAUGCCGCGUGCAGGAUGAAGGCCUUCGGGUUGUAAACUGCUUUUGUACGGAACGAAAAGCCUUCUUUUAAUACAGGAGGGUCAUGACGGUACCGUAAGAAUAAGCACCGGCUAACUACGUG